rnacentral:rRNA from 1 species
CGCGGCCUAUCAGCUUGUUGGUGGGGUAAUGGCUCACCAAGGCGACGACGGGUAGCCGGCCUGAGAGGGUGACCGGCCACACUGGGACUGAGACACGGCCCAGACUCCUACGGGAGGCAGCAGUGGGGAAUAUUACACAAUGGGCGGAAGCCUGAUGCAGCGACGCCGCGUGAGGGAUGACGGCCUUCGGGUUGUAAACCUCUUUCAGUAGGGAAGAAGCGAGAGUGACGGUACCUGCAGAAGAAGCGCCGGCUAACUACGUGCCAGCAGCCGCGGUAAUACGUAGGGCGCAAGCGUUGUCCGGAAUUAUUGGGCGUAAAGAGCUCGUAGGCGGUUUGUCGCGUCUGCUGUGAAAGCCCGGGGCUCAACCCCGGGUCUGCAGUGGGUACGGGCAGACUAGAGUGCAGUAGGGGAGACUGGAAUUCCUGGUGUAGCGGUGAAAUGCGCAGAUAUCAGGAGGAACACCGAUGGCGAAGGCAGGUCUCUGGGCUGUUACUGACGCUGAGGAGCGAAAGCAUGGGGAGCGAACAGGAUUAGAUACCCUGGUAGUCCAUGCCGUAAACGUUGGGCACUAGGUGUGGAGGACAUUCCACGUUCUCCGCGCCGUAGCUAACGCAUUAAGUGCCCCGCCUGGGGAGUACGG